rnacentral:lncRNA from 1 species
AUACACUGGAGUUGCUACCGUUAUGAAGAACUGUGUUUUAGAUUAAUUAUGUUUCCACAUCUUGCAAAGAGAUGGAGACACUAGGAGCAGCAAUAGAAGCCCAAGCAGGAAGCUAGAAUGACAACAUCAUUAUUAUGGUUAUCAUUGUGGGAAAAGAGAACUAGAAAGAUCUGUGUCUUCUGGGUAACAAGUACCUGGAGACAUACAUGCUAUUAUGUGUAUUAUCUACAUAGAAAGGUAAGAAAUAUUUCUUCUUGUUAUGCUUUGGCCAGGACACAGCUGUUAAGAUUUAUGAUGCUAAGAUUUAUGAUGGAGGUAUCGUGCAAGUUCAGAUGAUUAAAAAGUAACAUGAUGAGAUAGUUGUUCCAUAAUGCAUUAUUUUCUUAAAUAACCUCACUGUGUCAAGCUGUGAACAAAAGAUUGGUCCAAUCACCCUCCUUACAUUUGUAACUUUGUGAUCUAGCUGUCAGUUUCCAUGUAUGAAUCCUUUAUUCUGAGGUCCACUACAAUACUUAAGAGCUAAGUGAAAUUACAUAAUCACAAUUCUUCACAUUAUUGAUAAUUAAUGAGUUAUAUCGAGGUAGACUUUCUUGUCUGAAAAAACAUAUGAAAGGACCAUGGUUCCUCAAAAGUAUAAUGAACUUCAUGGGAAGGAAAAAGAGUGGAGGGGAGGGAAAGGGAGGGGAGGGAAAGGGAGCAGAGAGAAGAAAAAAAGAGGAGCGUAGAGAAGAGGAGCGUAGAGGAGCGUAGAGGAGAGGAGCGUAGAGGAGAGGAGAGGAGCGUAGAGGAGAGGAGAGGAGAGGAGCGUAGAGGAGAGGAGCAUAGAGGAGAGGAGAGGAGCGUAGAGGAGCGGAGAGGAGCGGAGAGGAGAGGAGAGGAGAGGAGAGGAGAGGAGAGGAGGAGUCCUUCUAUUCUUUGGAGUCCUUUAAAGAUAAAGACAAUACAUUUUCCCUCAAAUUUAUCGUACCAGCUUGGAAGGAGAUGGAAAUAAAUGUCCUUAUGUUUUCA